GUUCAUGGCUCAGGAUGAACGCUAGCUACAGGCUAACACAUGCAAGUCGAGGGGCAGCAUGGGAUAGCUGCUAUCCAGAUGGCGACCGGCGCACGGGUGAGUAACGCGUAUCCAACCUUCCCUAUAGUAGAGAAUAGCCCGGCGAAAGUCGGAUUAAUGCUCUAUGUUGUGUUUUGAGGACAUCUGACGAACACCAAAGGUUCACCGCUAUAGGAUGGGGAUGCGUCUGAUUAGCUUGUUGGCGGGGUAACGGCCCACCAAGGCGACGAUCAGUAGGGUUCUGAGAGGAAGGUCCCCCACAUUGGUACUGAGACACGGACCAAACUCCUACGGGAGGCAGCAGUGAGGAAUAUUGGUCAAUGGGCGAGAGCCUGAACCAGCCAAGUAGCGUGCAGGACGACUGCCCUAUGGGUUGUAAACUGCUUUUAUCAGGGAAUAAAGUGAGGUACGUGUGCCUUUUUGUAUGUACCCUAUGAAUAAGGACCGGCUAAUUCCGUGCCAGCCGCCGC
rnacentral:rRNA from 1 species